GAUGAACGCUGGCGGCGUGCCUAAUACAUGCAAGUCGAGCGAACGGACGAGAAGCUUGCUUCUCUGAUGUUAGCGGCGGACGGGUGAGUAACACGUGGAUAACCUACCUAUAAGACUGGGAUAACUUCGGGAAACCGGAGCUAAUACCGGAUAAUAUUUUGAACCGCAUGGUUCAAAGGUGAAAGACGGUCUUGCUGUCACUUAUAGAUGGAUCCGCGCUGCAUUAGCUAGUUGGUAAGGUAACGGCUUACCAAGGCAACGAUGCAUAGCCGACCUGGGAGGGUGAUCGGCCACACUGGAACUGAGACACGGUCCAGACUCCUACGGGAGGCAGCAGUAGGGAAUCUUCCGCAAUGGGCGAAAGCCUGACGGAGCAACGCCGCGUGAGUGAUGAAGGUCUUCGGAUCGUAAAACUCUGUUAUUAGGGAAGAACAUAUGUGUAAGUAACUGUGCACAUCUUGACGGUACCUAAUCAGAAAGCCACGGCUAACUACGUG
rnacentral:rRNA from 1 species